ensembl:lncRNA
CUGUAAUCUUAACCUUAAGCACAGAGCAAACAUGCAUUUCUAUAGGGCUGAGGAUCCGUACACCGCCUCCUUUGAAGGGGAAAAUCUUUUAACUGUCAAACCCUGGGUAAACAGUCUGACAGAGCCACCGCCGCCAGUAGGAAACGAUAGCAGGAGAGUCCAAUUCAUCUUAGUUCAGGUCCACAUUCAGCCCAGUUUGAUCUCCAGUGAUCCAGACCAGUAAAAUCACAGCAGAAUAACCUAUAAAUAACCACAACUCCUAAUGUUUCCUUUGUUUUAGUGCAAAAAAUAUGGAAGCAAAUCAGACUCAUCAGAUUCUGAAUUUUAAAAGCUGCUGAAUUUCUUACUUUGAAUUUUUUUGUAUCAAAAUUACGUAUGUGAAUUUUUUAUGCCUGAAUUUAGCUCAUCAAAAUUCUAAAAACCAGUUAAAAAUUCAAUGUCUUCAAAAUUCGCCAUCAAAAAAAUUUGAUGUCUUCAAAAUUCACCAAAAAAUUUGUUGUUCACAUCCGGGGGACUCAGGCGUAAAAAAUCGAUCCUGGCCAAAAUCGAACCAACGCCCAGCCAAUCACGUGGCGCUCCUCCGGUCAUGUGACGCAGACGGUUCACCUCACAAGACCGGGGUCAACCACGGCUACCAGCAUGAACGACGGCGCUUCACAACACCGUCUGAACUGACCAGUCUGGUGAAAUUCUGGACUGGAUGGGAGAUUCUACCAAGAACUCUCUCCUCAGAAGUAGUGAAUGGCAGAUACCUGACAGCCUGCACCUGCUAUGAGACCUUACAUUCCCAGGACAUUACAAGGACCUUUGUAGCGAGGACCCGAUGCCAGGUCCAGUGGACAGACUUCAGACGUCUCUGUGUGUCCCGUCCUGUCCGGUCCUGUCUCUGGUUGCCUGGUUACAGACGCUGCUGCACCCGCACGUUUAAAAAUGUCUACACCUGAAACUCCACCACGUCUAAAGAAGCAAAAACGUUUGCAAAUGUACAGACUGGA